rnacentral:rRNA from 1 species
GUCUAAGUAUAAGCAACUAUACGGUGAAACUGCGAAUGGCUCAUUAAAUCAGUUAUCGUUUAUUUGAUAGUACCUUACUACAUGGAUACCUGUGGUAAUUCUAGAGCUAAUACAUGCUAAAAACCCCGACUUCGGGAGGGGUGUAUUUAUUAGAUAAAAAACCAAUGCCCUUCGGGGCUCCUUGGUGAAUCAUAAUAACUUAACGAAUCGCAUGGCCUUGCGCCGGCGAUGGUUCAUUCAAAUUUCUGCCCUAUCAACUUUCGAUGGUAGGAUAGUGGCCUACCAUGGUGGCAACGGGUAACGGGGAAUUAGGGUUCUAUUCCGGAGAGGGAGCCUGAGAAACGGCUACCACAUCCAAGGAAGGCAGCAGGCGCGCAAAUUACCCAAUCCCGAUACGGGGAGGUAGUGACAAUAAAUACUGAUACAGGGCUCUUUUGGGUCUUGUAAUUGGAAUGAGUACAAUUUAAAUCCCUAACGAGGAACAAUUGGACG